UACAGGGGGGGCAAGCGUUUGUUCGGAAUUACUGGGCGUAAAAGGGCUCGUAGGUGGCCGACUAAGUCAGACGUGAAAUCCCUCAGCUUAACUGGGGAACUGCGUCUGAUACUGGAUGGCUUGAGUUUGGGAGAGGGAUGCGGAAUUCCAGGUGUAGCGGUGAAAUGCGUAGAUAUCUGGAGGAACACCGGUGGCGAAGGCGGCAUCCUGGACCGACACUGACGCUGAGGAGCGAAAAGCCAGGGGAGCAAACGGGG
rnacentral:rRNA from 1 species